rnacentral:rRNA from 1 species
GCAGUCGAGCGAACAGAGAAGGAGCUUGCUCCUUCGACGUUAGCGGCGGACGGGUGAGUAACACGUGGGCAACCUACCUUAUAGUUUGGGAUAACUCCGGGAAACCGGGGCUAAUACCGAAUAAUCUGUUUCACCUCAUGGUGAAACACUGAAAGACGGUUUCGGCUGUCGCUAUAGGAUGGGCCCGCGGCGCAUUAGCUAGUUGGUGAGGUAACGGCUCACCAAGGCGACGAUGCGUAGCCGACCUGAGAGGGUGAUCGGCCACACUGGGACUGAGACACGGCCCAGACUCCUACGGGAGGCAGCAGUAGGGAAUCUUCCACAAUGGGCGAAAGCCUGAUGGAGCAACGCCGCGUGAGUGAAGAAGGAUUUCGGUUCGUAAAACUCUGUUGUAAGGGAAGAACAAGUACAGUAGUAACUGGCUGUACCUUGACGGUACCUUAUUAGAAAGCCACGGCUAACUACGUGCCAGCAGCCGCGGUAAUACGUAGGUGGCAAGCGUUGUCCGGAAUUAUUGGGCGUAAAGCGCGCGCAGGUGGUUUCUUAAGUCUGAUGUGAAAGCCCACGGCUCAACCGUGGAGGGUCAUUGGAAACUGGGAGACUUGAGUGCAGAAGAGGAUAGUGGAAUUCCAAGUGUAGCGGUGAAAUGCGUAGAGAUUUGGAGGAACACCAGUGGCGAAGGCGACUAUCUGGUCUGUAACUGACACU